CCACAGCGAUGUGGUCUCAGCAAAGAGUCCCUCCCGACUGUUUACCAAAAACACAGCACUUUGCCAACUCGUAAGAGGAAGUAUAAGGUGUGACGCCUGCCCGGUGCUCGAAGGUUAAGAGGAUGCGUCAGUCGCAAGAUGAAGCGUUGAAUUGAAGCCCGAGUAAACGGCGGCCGUAACUAUAACGGUCCUAAGGUAGCGAAAUUCCUUGUCGGUUAAAUACCGACCUGCAUGAAUGGCGUAACGAGAUGGGAGCUGUCUCAACCAGAGAUUCAGUGAAAUUGUAGUGGAGGUGAAAAUUCCUCCUACCCGCGGCAAGACGGAAAGACCCCGUGGACCUUUACUACAACUUAGCACUGCUAAUGGGAAUAUCAUGCGCAGGAUACGUGGGAGGCUUUGAAGUAAGGGCUUUGGCUCUUAUGAG
rnacentral:rRNA from 1 species